rnacentral:rRNA from 1 species
GACGAACCGUGCAAACGUUAUUCGGAAUCACUGGGCAUAAAGGGCGCGUAGGCGGCUCGAAAAGUCAGGGGUGAAAUCCGGCAGCUUAACUGUCGCAGUGCCUUUGAUACUGUCGAGCUCGAGGGAGGUAGGGGUCUGUGGAACUUCCGGUGGAGCGGUGAAAUGCGUUGAUAUCGGAAGGAACGCCGGUGGCGAAGGCGGGUCUCUGGGCAGUAACUGACGCUGAGGAGCGAAAGCGUGGGGAGCGAACAGG